AGGAUACUUUGCUUCCCUGUUUCAACUCUACACAGCAUCCAGGACCAUGUCUUAUACCUAUAUAGAAUCCUGAUUACCUCUACACACACAGGGUGAGGAUGGAAGAAAGUGUCCUUGUUGUACAUCUUGGAAAGGGAGAAGGGCUAGCUAGCCUCAUCAUAGCCACUUAGGACCCCCACCCAGCUGUCUCCAAGAAGUCCCAGGAACAGGCAUUGAGUCAGGAAACAAAAAUAAACAACACUUAUUGUGAAUUUA